rnacentral:misc_RNA from 1 species
GUGAGUCAUCGAAUCUUUGAACGCAAAUUGCACUCUCGGGUAUCCCCGGGAGUACGCUUCUUUCAGUAUCGGUUCUAUCCAAUCUCGUCUGCGUACUUAUUUAUAAGUGCUGGACGGAAACUGAGCGCCACACAUCCGAACAGAAGUGUGAUGCUUGAAAGAUAGAAGAAGGCUGUGCCUUAUCCGUUCCUACGCUCCUGGUUACGACCUGAGUGACGUGGUUAAGCUCGCCUCUGGCGAUCUCCACCGUCAAACAAUCUUAGGUUGUGACCUGUAGGUCAAUUGGAGAAGUGCGCUUUC